AAACAUCGAUCACACCCUACACUUAACAUCCGCCCGGGAACUACGAACACCAGGUUAAAACCCAAAGGACUUGGCGGUGCUUUACAUCCACCUAGAGGAGCCUGUCUAGAACCGAUAACCCCCGUUCAACCUCACCCUCCCUUGCUUAUCCCGCCUAUAUACCACCGUCGUCAGCUUACCCUGUGAAGGCCCAAUAGUAAGCAAAAUUGGCAUAGCCCAAAACGUCAGGUCGAGGUGUAGCGUAUGAGAGGGGAAGAAAUGGGCUACAUUCACUAGCAGUAGUGAAUUUACGAAAAAUGCAUUGAAACANUGCAAUUGAAGGAGGAUUUAGUAGUAAGCAGGAAGUAGAGUGUCCC
rnacentral:rRNA from 1 species